rnacentral:rRNA from 1 species
UACGGGGGGGGCAAGCGUUGUUCGGAAUUACUGGGCGUAAAGGGCGCGUAGGCGGCCUGCUAAGUUGGAUGUGAAAACUCUGGGCUCAACCCAGAGCCUGCAUUCAAUACUGACGGGCUAGAGUACUGGAGGGGAAAGCGGAAUUCCUGGUGUAGCGGUGAAAUGCGUAGAUAUCAGGAGGAACACCUGUGGUGUAGACGGCUUACUGGACCGCAACUGACGCUGAGGAGCGAAAGCCAGGGGAGCAAACGGG